CCAGUUUAAAUUUCUUAGUGUAUGGUUUACGAAACAUUUUAAUCAUGGAUGUGAAAAAAACUAGUGUAAGGGUUAACUUUAAUUGUAGUAUAUGUGAUAAACAUUUUUACGAUAAAAGUAAUUUAAAUCGGCAUUUAAAAACGAUUCAUAGUGUACCUAACCCACCACAAGAGAAUCAGAUAAAUGUAAAAGAUGAUGGACAAGAAAGUGUUACUAAAGUCCAACAGUGUGAUAUAUGUGGCAAAAACUUCUUUGAUAUGAGUACAUUAAAUAGACACUUACAAAAAGUACACAAAUUAAAUGAAAAUAAAUGUGUGAAAAACUCUAUCUUUUGCUUAGAAUGCAACAGCAAAUUCUUAAAUAAAAAACUUUUAAUUGAGCAUUUAGUUAUUAAGCAUAAUUUUGAGGACGAUUGGUAUAUGAACAUACAUUUUGUUCUUUAAAAGAUUUCCAGUCCUGGAUACUUAAUAUUGAACAAGAAAAUAAAACACAAUAUGUACGUAAGAAGGGAAAAUGUGUGAAAAAUAAUUGUACAGUGAUUUAUUAUGAGUAAUCGUUCAGGAACAUUUAAAAGCAAAUCUUCGCAGAUCCGGAAUCAAAAAACACAGGGCACUCAGAAAAUUGGCUUUUCAUGUACCAGUCAUCUAAAACUAAAAGUUUGCAAUGAAACAAAUAAUGUAUCAGUAAGAUAUUUUAAAACUCAUUAUGGACACGAUUUACAACUUCAACACAUCCGAAUACCAAAAAGUGCAAGGAACGAUAUUGCUGCCAAACUUGUGUUAUUAGGAGUGUCAGUUCCAAAGGUAGUCGAUACUAUUCGUGACAGUAUAGGACAAGGUGGUGAUUUACAACGUUCUGAUCUAAUCACAAAAAAAGACAUAUAUAACAUCAAAAAAUCUUUUCAAAUUGACAUUGUAGAUGGGUUACGCCAUUCUGAUGAUGCCACAAGUGUGGCUCUGUGGGUUAAAGAAUGUGAAUGUGAUAAAAAUAAUCCAGUUCGGUUUUUUAAACCACAAGGGUCAGACGAUCUUGAGUAUGGAUUGAAUAUAUCCGAUUUUUGUCUGAUUAUUAUGAAUUCAUUUCAAAGUGAUACACUAACAAAAUAUGCAUCAAAGUUUGUUUGUAUUGAUGGUACCCAUGGUACAAAUCCCUAUGAUUUUGAAUUGACAACAGUUUUAGUUGCCGAUGAAUUUGGCGAAGGAAUGCCAGUUGCGUUCAUGAUUUACAAUAGAAAAGACACAGCUACAUACGAACUAUUUUUUAAUGUUAUAAAAAAUUCAUGUGGUAGCAUAAAUACUCUUACGUUUAUGACUGAUAUAACAGAAACAUAUUACAAUGCUUGGAGGUCUGUAAUGGGAGACGUGCCAAAUCGCCUUUUUUGCUCAUGGCACAUUGACAGAGCAUGGAGAACGAAUUUGGCAAAAAUUUCAUCAGCCACCUCGGAACAAUCUGUACAUAAACGAAAAGAUGUAGGGGAGACUAGGGAUACUUGAUACAGAAGGAGACAUGAUACACGUUCAAAUUUCCCGGUUGGGAAGGUGUUGUAAAUAUUUAAAGACCACCAAUCAUUAAGAGGUGGCGUUACAUGUAAAUCACCAAAACUUUGAUGAAAUACGGCCAUCAUUGACAUUACUGUGGCAGUUAGAAGUUUUUUCGCGCCUACGAUCUGUAUUUUACGUGACGUGUUGGAAGCAGGUACAUCGUGUAAGUACUUACCCAUCUAUUUGCCGGUAUUAUCAUUUGAUAGUAAGUUGAUAUGCUUACAUUUUAGUACAUAAGGUUUGGUGCAAUUGUUAUUUAUGUUUUACUAGAUCGUCAUUUUUUGUCGCGGUGUGUUCAUGGGACACUUGAUACAUUAUAUUACCGGGAGAUUUGAUACGUAUCAAGUCUCCUGUUAUGAAAGAAUCUAAAAUUUAUUUUGUUUAUACCUACCUACGGAACUUUUUUUGAUAAUUUCAGAAUAUGCCUUUUAAAUACAAAAAAAGAACAGACCGAGUGCCUCCCGCGAAAGAUGUUAUGGAAAAGGCGGUAAAAGAAGUCGCAGUUGAAGGGUGUAAAUUAAGGACAACCGCCACAAAAUAUGGAAUGGAUAAGAUGACGUUGAGAAGGUAUGUAUUGAAAUACAAAGAACAUGGCAUGCAAACCACAUUCCUCCCAAACUUCAAGAAAUCCCAAAUAUUCGCUGAUAGGGAAGAAAGCGCUUUGGCACAAUAUCUACUAACGGCAUCAAAAAUGAAUUAUGGCUUGACUCCGAAGGAGUGUCGUAAACUAGCAUAUUUGUAUGCAAUUGAAAAUGGAAAAAAUGUCCCUCGUUAUUGGACAUCCAACGAAGAGGCAUCUUAUGAUUGGUUUAGGGGAUUCAUGGAGAGAAACGGCACUUUAUCCAUAAGACGUCCUGAACCAACAAGCCUAAGUAGAGCAACUGCUUUUAACAGGCAUACAGUGUCUCAAUUUUUUCAACUCCUGAGGAAAGUGUUGGAGCGCGAUAGAUUUGAAGCCGCUGCGAUAUAUAAUUGCGACGAAACCGGGGUCCAAACGGCACACAAACCCGGAAGUAUCAUUUCACAAAAAGGUCUGAAGCAGGUAUCAAAAGCUACAUCGGCUGAACGUGGUCAAACAGUUACCAUUUGCUGCGCCGUUAAUGCUGUAGGGAAUUUCAUUCCCCCAUUUUUUGUGUUUCCCCGUGUUAAGAAACAAGAUUAUAUGACAUAUGGUGCCCCUGUGGGAUCAGUUGCUGCAACACAUCCUAGCGGGUGGAUGACAGUAGAAAAUUUUUUACUCUAUUUAGAACAUUUCAAAAAGUAUGUGAAAUGUUCAAUUGAAAAUAAAGUCCUCCUUAUAUUAGACAACCACAGCACCCAUAUCUCUCCACAAGGCCUUAAGUUCUGCAAAAACAACGGAAUAGUAUUGUUAACUUUACCACCCCACACCAGCCACAGGAUUCAACCACUGGAUGUAGCCAGCCACGUAUGGUCCCUUUAAAACAUAUUUUAAUAGUGCAUGUGACAACUACUUGGUGAAUCAUCCUGGUCAAACAAUAACAUUAAAAGAAGUGGCCCAACUUGUCGGAUCAGCAUUUGACCGGGCAUUUACUCCGUCUAAUAUAAAAAAUGGCUUUUUGAAAUCGGGCAUACAACCAUUUAACCCAGAAAUAUUUACAGCUGACGACUUUAUGAGUUCUGAAGUGACCAAUCGUGAUCAUAUAAGGGAAGGUACGUCACCCACUGUACCCAUCUUAGAAGAACAGCGAACUACGUCACCACUAUCAAGCCCACCUGAUAAUGAUGAAGACGCAUCUAUGUUGUUUGAUGAUAAUAACCAUACACAGGAUGAACCUGGACCUUCUGGAUUCAAUAUGAAAAGUCCUGAAGAAAUAAGACCUUUACCCAAAGCCCCCCAAAGAAAAAAUGCAAAGCCACGUAACGCAAAGAAAACAAAAAUUUUAACCGAUACUCCAAACAUAAAAGAAAUUGAAGAUGAAUUUGCUGCAAGGCAGCGUAAAAAAUCAGCAGAGUCCGUGAAAAGAAACCUUUCGCUGGGAAAGAAUAGCCUGAAUCCAGUUGCAGUCACUCAAAAACACAAAAAAAUUACACACGAAUCAUCAGAUUCUAGUCUUAAUGUGUCCAUCCACUCCUCUGGUUCUUCAGAAGACAUUACCGACAUCGAAGAUCAAAUUGACAUCGAUAUAGAAGAAACGAGCUUUGCCCAAGGAGUUAUAGAAAAAAACAGCUACGUUCUUGUUCAAUUUGACCUUGGAAAAUCAGUGCGGUAUUACGUGGGAUUGGUAGAUGAAGUUCUUGAAGAAAAUUUGUUAAGUGUGAAUUUUAUGCGACGUAAAAAGCCAGGUUAUUUUUUUGUGUAUCCAGAAGUGCCGGAUCAAUCAUAUGUGCCUCUCGCUGACGCGAUCAGACUCCCUCCUCCGAUUGUCACAGGAGGAACAGCGCGUAUGCACCGCAAACUAUCAUUUCCCGUAAAUUUCGAGAAAUAUCCAACUGUAAUGUAGGUGUGGUUUUAAGAGUAAUGAUUAUUGUUUGUUUUGCAGAAUUAUUUUUGAGUUUUGAUUAAUAAAUCUUAUCCUCCAGGAUUGUUUUAGUGCAUGUAUCAAUCCUCCCAAGUCAUGUAUCACGUCUCCCAUACCAAAGGAGACAUGAUACAUUUGCAACUUUAAAAAAAAAAUUAUACCCAAAUAACCUUUGCUCUAGUUCCGAAGUACAAACGUGGCAAUGGAAGUAAACACAAUGAGCUUUGAUAAUCGCUCUUUACCUUGGAGAAAACUGAUAAAUAGCCAAAUUUAUUAGCAUUACGGUCUUACAUGUAUCAACCCUCCCCAGUCUCCCCUAUAUAAGUUCCUUAAAAAUGUUCAAACUUGUCUCUCGGUUGAAGAAUUUCAAUACCAGUACAACAACUUCAUAAAUUAUCUUCAAGAAGAUCCAGAUACUAGUCAUUUUUAUAACUACUUUACCAGUUAUUAUGGACAUAAUCACUCUUUAUGGGCGUAUUGUCAUAGAAAAGGAUUGGGAAUUAAUACAAAUAUGUAUUUGGAGUCUAUGCACCGUAUUAUAAAAUAUGAAUAUUUAGAUGGCAAAAAAGUUAAACGUUUAGAUAAAUCACUGCAUAAUUUAAUGCGAUUUACACGUGACAAGCAAGUGGAGUGGAUAAUUAAAGUAACUAAAGGAAAAAAUACCAACAAAAUUAAUUCGAUUAACCAAAGUCAUCAAAAGGCUCUCCACGCUAAACUUAGUGCACAUGAAGUAAAUGAAGAAGGUUCGAAGAAAUGUACGGUUCAGAAUAUAGACAAUAGUAAUGUAUACACAGUAGAAGAACGAGCACAUGGCAUUUGUUGUAGUUUGACAUGUCAAAACUGCAGCAUAUGCUAUCAUUCUUACAGCUGCACUUGUACCAAUUAUUUUAUACAAAGUAAUAUAUGCAAACAUAUACAUUUUGUUUGUAUACAGACAAAAAAUAAGGAAUGUAUGGAAAUCGCAGACACCAUUGUGUGCCAUAAGAUAGACAAUGAUGAAAUUAAUACAGUAGCCAAAAGUUUAUUUAAAACACCAACAGAUACUUCUAGUUUACAAAAUGAGCUUGUUAGUGCAGCUCUGGAAUUAAUUAACUUAGCAAAGAAAACAGUGGAUACCAGCAUACUAGCCACUGCAACAAAACAAGUGAAAACAAUAAAUGCUUUGUUAGAAAUUGGAUCAAAUUUGAAUGAGCAAGAACUUAACAUUCCAGUUGCAAUGAAAAGGGAACCAGCAAAUAAAAACAUUUCCAAACAAAUGCAGUUCUUUUCUACAAAAAGAAGUCACAAUAAAUCUAAGGCUUAUGCUAAUUAAAUAUUACCGUUCCUUUGUUACCUGCACAAACAGUUCCAAUUUUAAUGUAAUUUUACUAUUUUUAAAAAAGCAUGUUAGAAUUAAAGAAACUCAUUAAACAGCACACCCAAAUGACAUCAUCUAAUAAACUACCCUGUUGUUUAAUCGAAAACAAGUAAUUGUAAAAAUGAUUACUUCUUUUUUCUAGUUAAUAGAUUUAUAAUUACGAUUUUUGUAGAUCUAUUAAA